CAGCCGCCGCGGUAAUACGGAGGGGGCUAGCGUUGUUCGGAAUUACUGGGCGUAAAGCGCACGUAGGCGGUUUUGUAAGUCAGAGGUGAAAGCCCGGAGCUCAACUCCGGAACUGCCUUUGAGACUGCAUCACUUGAACGUCGGAGAGGUGAGUGGAAUUCCGAGUGUAGAGGUGAAAUUCGUAGAUAUUCGGAAGAACACCAGUGGCGAAGGCGGCUCACUGGACGACUGUUGACGCUGAGGUGCGAAAGCGUGGGGAGCAAACAGGAUUAGAUACCCCCGUAGUCCCUGUCUCUUAUAC
rnacentral:rRNA from 1 species